AUUGAACGCUGGCGGCAUGCCUUACACAUGCAAGUCGAACGGCAGCGGGCCUUCGGGUGCCGGCGAGUGGCGAACGGGUGAGUAAUGCAUCGGAACGUGCCAUUGAGUGGGGGAUAACGUAGCGAAAGUUACGCUAAUACCGCAUAUUCUGUGAGCAGGAAAGCAGGGGACCGCAAGGCCUUGCGCUCUUUGAGCGGCCGAUGUCAGAUUAGCUAGUUGGUGAGGUAAAGGCUUACCAAGGCGACGAUCUGUAGCGGGUCUGAGAGGAUGAUCCGCCACACUGGAACUGAGACACGGUCCAGACUCCUACGGGAGGCAGCAGUGGGGAAUUUUGGACAAUGGGCGAAAGCCUGAUCCAGCCAUGCCGCGUGAGUGAAGAAGGCC
rnacentral:rRNA from 1 species